rnacentral:lncRNA from 1 species
GUGGGUAAGUAUUAUGGUGCAAUAUUUUAAACAUAAUAGUCAACAUUAAAAGAUUUAUUCAAUAUAACAACAUAGUACAAAUAGCUUUACAGUUUUAAACAAUAGCACGGACAAUCUUAUCAUUUUGUAAACCAAACAUCUUUUGUUACAUUCAUUCUAAGUUUUCAUUUCACAUAUACUUCGAGCACUGAUGUACAUAAAGUGACUAAACGGGUAUAUUUACUCUGCUCAUAAAAUUUCAAUUAAUCUGUAUCCUCAAGAUAAAAGUAAGCUUAGGAGCAAUAAAUGCAAAUACUUAUUCUCUUCAAAUAGAGACAUUUUAGCUCCAAUUUCGAGAUCAAGCUUCAAAUUAGAAAUGCAGACCGAGUCCCGAAUGCCCAAAACCCCUUCUUCACUAUUGGAGGAAACAUAUCAGAUUAUCAAAACAUCAGUUCAGCAGAUUAUUCUAGGUAAAAGGAUGUAUAAUAAAGACUAAAAAAAUAACUUUAGAUUCAAGCUUCCCCUCUUUGCGUCUUAUAUCCGUCAUGAAACAAUGAGAGCAAGUCCAACCCAACGCAUUCCUACCCCUAACCCCAAACCGUAAUAUCCUAGUUCUGGUUCAUAAACUGAUGUUAUG